rnacentral:lncRNA from 1 species
UGUGUCAUGCAGCUGCUAUGGGGGGAUGGAGGAGGAGUUGCAUUGGCAAUUCAAGACUGCCUUUCUUACCCUUUUCAGUGCCUCUUUCAGUGAUACGAAGCUAAAACCAGAUACUGCUUUCAUAGUACUCUUCUGACCAUGGUUUUCUGGAGUUUUUUCGUAUGGAGUUUGUAAGCUUCCUGACAUGGAUUAUAACUGUACUUGAUGGAGCACAGUUAUAAUAGCUGCUUUAGAGUCCUUGAUAAUUCCCACAUCUGAAUCAUCUCGAGAUUUUGAUGGAUGUACAUUGAUGGAUAGCCACAUGGAUCCAGAAAAUAAAGACUUCUACUCUGCAUAUUGACUAAAGCAGAAGAUAUGCAGGGAAGCUCAGUCUCUCAAUUGAGUGGAUUCUGAAAUUUAUCCUGUUGUCUUCAGCUACUAAGGCUAAUUUGCAAAUCACACUGUGUACGGGGUGAAAUAGGAGCACUUGGGAAGCACUGCAAUGAAUUUACUGCUUAUUCAGCAUAUUGAUAGAGUCUUCUCUAAAACAACAAAAAGUGUUGACAGCAAAUUGAAGAUCUUAAAG